rnacentral:sRNA from 1 species
GCUCGCCGCGCCCGCCGCCGCGAUGUCUGGGGCCGGCCUAGCCGCCGUGGUGAGCCGCCUGCCCCCGCAGCCUGGCGAGGAGCCGCAGACCCAUGAGGACCUUCUCCUGGCAGCUGCCUAUGUUUUGGAUGCCCAGUACAACAGAAAUGUUCCAUUUGAAACUCACCUCAGGCCGUCAGACGUUACUAUUUUUAUAACCACUAGACAACGCAGGUUGCCGCAUACUUCUUUAUUUGUGUAGACUUCGCUCUUGCCCUGUUUGAAGAGCCUGAGUUGCUUCCCCUGCCUUUCUUG